rnacentral:rRNA from 1 species
UUUAUUGUCUUAUUUUUUAUAAAAGUUUAUUUUAUUUAAAGGAAGUAUUAUUUUUUUUAUUAGAGUUUUUGAAAAAAGUUUUUUUAUUAUAGUUUAUUAGUAUUGAGAAAGAAGGGUUUGUAUUGUUUAUAAGAAAAAUUUGUUUUUUGUACCUUUUGUAUCAGGGUUUGUCUAUAAAUUUUUAUUUUUUAAAAUUCUCGAAUCUAAAAGAUCUAUGGUUUUAUAAUUUUUAUUGUUGAAUAAAUACUAGUAAUUUGACUAUAGAAGUGAAAUGCUUUCGAUUUUAGAUAUAUCUAGUUUCUAAAGAAAAAAAUUUAAUUUUGUCUUUGUUGGAAAAGUUAGCUUAAUUAUUAGUUCCUUUUUUAAAAAGUUAAAGAAUUACAGGGAUGAGCUUGUAAUUUAAAGCAUAAUUUUUUGUUAUUUAUUUACGGUAGGAUUAAAAGUUUCUUUCUCGGAAAGUUUUAUAACUUUAUAAUGUUAGAUAAAAGAUUUUGUUGUGAUUGCUUUGUUUAUUUAGAAUAGUAAGAUAAUUUUUUAGUUGUUGUUAAAGUGAUAGAAUUAGUAUAUGUUUAUAAGUAUUGUUUUGUGUUUUAUUAGGUUAAUCAAAGUAACUCGGCAAAUAAGUUUUUCACCUGUUUAAUAAAAACAUGGCCUUUUGAUUUUAAUUUAAGGUCAAGCCUGCCCAAUGAGUUGUUUAAUGGCCGCGGUAUUUUGACCGUGCAAAGGUAGCAUAAUCAUUAGUUUUUUAAUUGAAAGCUGGAAUGAAUGGUUGGAUGAGAAAACUACUGUCUCUGUUUAAUUUUUAUAGAAUUUUAUUUUUAAGUUAAAAAGCUUAAAUUUUUAUAAAAGACGAGAAGACCCUAUAGAGUUUUAUAUUUAAUUUACUUGUAUUUUUUAGUAUUUAGUUUUAUUAGUUAUUUAAGUAUUUAGUUGGGGUGACUGGAAAAUUUAUUUAACUUUUUUAUUUAUUUACACUGAUAAGUGAGUGGUUGAUCCUUUUUAAGAUUAAUAGAUUAAAUUACCUUAGGGAUAACAGCGUUAUUUUUCUUGAGAGUUCUUAUCGAAAGAAGAGAUUGCGACCUCGAUGUUGGAUUAAAAUAAAUUCUUGGUGUAGAAGCUAGGAAAUUGAGUCUGUUCGACUUUUGAAAUUUUACAUGAUCUGAGUUUAAACCGGCGUGAGCCAGGUUGGUUUCUAUCUUUAUAUUUAGUAAUACUUUAGUACGAAAGGACCAAGUAUUAAUUUAAUUAAGUUUUAAUUUGA